GGUGAGAUGGCCGAGCGGUCUAAGGCGCCAGACUAAGGCAAUAUGUUGUCCAUCUGGUCCGAAAGGGCGUGGGUUCAAAUCCCACUCUCAUCA
rfam:Laetiporus sulphureus 93-53 unplaced genomic scaffold LAESTscaffold_5, whole genome shotgun sequence.